rnacentral:rRNA from 1 species
GUCGUUAUGUAGUUUUUUUUAAGGUUUGCUCUGCUCAGUGUUAUAUAAAUAGCUGCAGUAAUUUGACUGUACGAAGGUAGCAUAAUAAUUAGUUCAUUAAUUGUGGAAUGGUAUGAAGGAGUUGAUGAAAGGUUACCUUUUUUAUUUUGUUUUUGUUGAAUUUGAUUAAUGGAUUAAAAGGUCUAUUGUUUGUAAAGGGACGAUAAGACCCUAUAGAGUUUUAUGUAGUUUAAUUUAUUUUUUAGAUUAGAUAAUAUUUGGUUGGGGUGACUGGAAUAUUAGUUUAACUUUUUUUUUAUUUGACAUUAAUUUUUGGUUUUUAUUAGAUUAGUUAUAUUGUAAUAAGGUAAAUUACCUUAGGGAUAACAGCAUAAUUUAUAUGGAGAGUUCUUAUUGAUAUAUAAGGUUAUGACCUCGAUGUUGAAUUAAGAUAAAAUUUAGGAUGGAGAUGCUUAUAGGUUGGGUCUGUUCGACCUUUAAUAUCUUACA